UGAGGUUUUAUUUAAUUAACCUCUUGUUUUCUGGACUUGAUGAAUCUGAAGCUUAAAUAACCUCAAGGUGAGAGGGAGCUGAUCUGGACUACUAGUUUAACAAAGUAGUUCAUUCUUUUAUCAGUCAAGAGAAUGCAGCCACAUUAAAAGGAUGCAUUAUUUCUGUUUUUGACCGUUGGAAAAGCUGUGUGCUGCUUCUUAUUAUCUCGGAAGAUUGAUGUCUUCACAUAAGUUGUUCCUACUUUCUCAUGCAGGGCUGCCCAUGCUUUGGCUCUUUGCGUGCAAGCAUCUGAAUUUUAUCCAGAUGCAAGAAUGUGAUCAUAAAAGAAACACCACUUCAGUUAAGACUUGAGAUGAUUAAGAGUUCAGAUGAAAUAUCGUACCAGUGUUUCAGUUUUUGGCCAACCACUAGUCCCAGUCCUUGCAUUAUUCGCUUGGGUUUAGAAGCCUGUGAGCGUAGGAUACUGAUGUCUCCAUUGAGAGUUUUCCACGCUCUCAUACAUGAAUUUGGACCUUCACCGCAACCGUUGCUGCCAUGUGACGUUUAGAAAGGAAGGAUCUGGGUUGAUCCUUUAACUUUGUGUAUGUAUGUAAUCUGCUCUGAACAGCCUCGCCGACUGGUCUACGCGCCCAUUUCUGCUUCAGAGUGCUUUAGAGGGCCUGGAGUUGUAAUAUUAUUUCUGUUUGGUUGAACUCUUGAUGGAGGUAGGCUGUCUGUGUGAAUGUCACGUUAGUGCUGUAUGCACCUUCUUUUUGUGAAUCUGUUUGCUGUGUGAUC